UACGUAGGGCGCAAGCGUUGUCCGGAAUUAUUGGGCGUAAAGAGCUCGUAGGCGGCUUGUCACGUCGAUUGUGAAAGCCCGAGGCUUAACCUCGGGUCUGCAGUCGAUACGGGCUAGUGAGUGUGGUGAGGGGAGAUCGGAAUCCUGGUGUAGCGGUGAAAUGCGCAGAUAUCAGGAGGAACACCGGUGGCGAAGGCGGAUCUCUGGGCCAUUACUGACGUGAGGCGCGAAGCGUGGGAGCAAACGGGAUUGA
rnacentral:rRNA from 1 species